GAGCAAUGAGUAAAGACCUUGAAUUCAUAGAGCGUUUUUAUCUAUGUGAAAGAGAUAAAGAAAUAAAGCCAUAAUGUACUUUCAGAACGUAGUGACUGCUAUAAAGAAAAAUAAAAGCAAGCUUGCUCCAAGGAAAGCCAGCUGCCAUUCCAUGAGCUGCCCUGUCGGGAAGCCCACGAGGAACUGAAUCUCUGUGUCCAAUAACCCUUGAGCGACCACAUCCUGCUAAUUACCGUAUAAGUGACUUUGGGAGCAGAUCCUCCCCCAAGAUGAACCUGGAGAUGACUACUUGUGAGAGACCCUGAACCAGAGGACUAGGCUAAGCUGCAGAUUCCUGACCGGUGGACACAUGUGUUGGUUUUAAAGCCACUAUGUUUUUCUUCAUAAAAUAAGUAAUAUAACAA